rnacentral:rRNA from 1 species
GGCGUAGACGGCAAGGCAAGUCUGAAGUGAAAGCCCGGUGCUUAACGCCGGGACUGCUUUGGAAACUGUUUAGCUGGAGUGCCGGAGAGGUAAGCGGAAUUCCUAGUGUAGCGGUGAAAUGCGUAGAUAUUAGGAAGAACACCAGUGGCGAAGGCGGCUUGCUGGACGGUAACUGACGUUGAGGCUCGAAAGCGUGGGGAGCAAACA